rnacentral:rRNA from 1 species
AGAGUUUGAUCCUGGCUCAGGAUGAACGCUAGCUAUAGGCUUAACACAUGCAAGUCGAGGGGAAACGGCAUUAUGUGCUUGCACAUUUUGGACGUCGACCGGCGCACGGGUGAGUAUCGCGUAUCCAACCUGCCCUUUACUUGGGGAUACCCCGUUGAAAGACGGCCUAAUACCCGAUGUAAUUCAUUGAUGGCAUCAGAUAUGAAUAAAAGAUUUAUCGGUAAAGGAUGGGGAUGCGUCUGAUUAGCUUGUUGGUGAGGUAAUGGCUCACCAAGGCGACGAUCAGUAGGGGUUCUGAGAGGAAGGUCCCCCACAUUGGAACUGAGACACGGUCCAAACUCCUACGGGAGGCAGCAGUGAGGAAUAUUGGUCAAUGGGCGCAAGCCUGAACCAGCCAAGUAGCGUGCAGGAAGACGGCCCUAUGGGUUGUAAACUGCUUUUAUACGAGAAUAAUUUGAUGCACGUGUGCGUUAUUGCAUGUAUCGUAUGAAUAAGGACCGGCUAAUUCCGUGCCAGCAGCCGCGGUAAUACGGAAGGUCCAGGCGUUAUCCGGAUUUAUUGGGUUUAAAGGGAGUGUAGGCGGUUUGUUAAGCGUGUUGUGAAAUUUAGAUGCUCAACAUUUAACUUGCAGCGCGAACUGUCAGACUUGAGUACACGCAACGUAUGCGGAAUUCAUGGUGUAGCGGUGAAAUGCUUAGAUAUCAUGAAGAACUCCGAUUGCGAAGGCAGCAUACGGGAGUGUAACUGACGCUUAAGCUCGAAGGUGCGGGUAUCGAACAGGAUUAGAUACCCUGGUAGUCCGCACAGUAAACGAUGGAUGCCCGCUGUUAGCGCCUGGCGUUAGCGGCUAAGCGAAAGCAUUAAGCAUCCCACCUGGGGAGUACGCCGGCAACGGUGAAACUCAAAGGAAUUGACGGGGGCCCGCACAAGCGGAGGAACAUGUGGUUUAAUUCGAUGAUACGCGAGGAACCUUACCCGGGCUUGAAUUGCAGAUGUAGGAUACAGAGAUGUUGACGCCCUUCGGGGCAUCUGUGAAGGUGCUGCAUGGUUGUCGUCA